rnacentral:rRNA from 1 species
GACAUAGGUGGCGAACGUUAUCCGGAAUUAUUGGGCGUAAAGGAUGCGUAGAUGGUAGAAUAAGUUACUGGUCGAUGCCAAACUCAAUUUGACGGAAGCUGGUAAUACUGUUCUGCUCGAGGGCAGGAGAGGUUGAUGGAAUUCUGUGUGGAGCGGUGAAAUGCGUUGAUCUACAGAGGAACACCAAAAAGGCGAAGGCAGUCAACUAUUCU